CCUAAUUUCUGUGCUAGCAACACUUCACAAUUCUCAUUCUUGUGCCUGAAGUGGCCUUAACUUCAGCCCUGUUCCAGGUGUGGAUAUGGAAUUCAGACUGACCAAUCAGAUCACUGCCACACUGUUUGGAUCAAGGAUAAGCACUUGAUCUGCUUCAGGCAGAUCAGGAGACAAGAAGAUUAGAUUCCCAGGUUUUUCAUUGGAAACUUUUGAGGAAGGGGCACUUUUUUUCAGCUGGAAUUGCUCAGCGUGGGCUAUGAGUCUAGAGCUAUCCACAGCCAUCUGCCCACCCUAAGUGGAGAACCUACCAGCAAUAGAAACAACACAAAGGGAAGCAGAGCUGAGAGAUGGAAAGACUCCUAAGAAGGCCCAAAGACAGAAUUUAAACAGCAGAGCCAAUUAGGACCAAACUUUUCAGUCCUCCUUUCCUUAGGUAUGCUUGAUUUGGAUAACCAGCUCAACCUUCGUUCCCUUGGUACAGACCUGGAAAUCUCAUACAAUGCUUUGGUCAUCCUGCCUAUAUGCCCAACUGUGAUGGUUAAUUUUAUACGUCAACUUGACUGGGCCAAGGGGUGCUCAGAUAGUUGGUUAAACAUUGCUGGGUGUGUCUGUGAGGGUGUUUCUGGAAAAGAUUAUCAUUUGAAUUGGUGGACUGAGCAAAGCAGAUGGCCUUCCCCAGUGAGGAUGGGCAUCAUCCAAUCUGUUAAGGACCUGAAUAGAAGAAAAAGGUGGAGGAAGGUUGAAUUAACCCUGUCUGACUGGUGAGCUGGGACAUAAAUCUUCUCCUGCUCUUGGUGCUCCUGGUCUCAGGACUGUAGACCUGGACUGGAAUGUAUACCAUCGUGUCUCUGGCUUUGAACUAUACCUCCAGCUUUCCUGGGUCUCCAGCUUGCAGACAGCAGAUUUUGGGACUUUUCAGCUUCAUCAUCAGCCCUGCAACUUUCCCCCUGCUUCCUGCCUCUGUGUGCUGGCUCAAGCUGUGAGUGUCUCUCUCUCAGGAUUUCGGUCUGGAGAAGAGGGACAAAGAUGGGUUUGGAAUGGUUGGAGCACAUCCAUAUGAGUGGAGAAUUCCAAGUACAUCUGUCUCAACAGUCCAGGUUUCACUGGUUCAAAUCCUGGCCACGGACCUACACAGCACUCAUCAAGCCAUGGUGUGACAGCAUCCCACAUACAAAAUAGAGGAAAACUGGCACAGAUGUUAGCUCAGUGAUAAUCUUCCUCCAGGAAAAAGAGGAAGAUUGGCAGCAGAUGUUAGCUCAGGGCCAAUCUUCCUCACCAAAAAAAAGAAAAGGUCAGUU
rnacentral:lncRNA from 1 species